rnacentral:rRNA from 1 species
AACGAACGCUGGCGGCGUGCCUAACACAUGCAAGUCGAACGAGCCCUUCGGGUCUAUUCUCGCCCGGGUUCGUCACGCGUCGGAACCUUCCCUUGUGUUCGACAUACCUCCCCGACAGGGAUGCUUAUACCGAAUCAUGUCUUCUACCCAAUGAUUUAUCGCCUUUGAUUGGUCCCUCGUUGGAUUAGCUAGUUCUUAGGGGAAUAGCCUACCACGGCGCCAAUUCAUAGAUGGUCUGAGAGGAUGAUUAGCCACACUGGGAGUGAGACACGGCCCAGAAUCCUACGGGAGGCAGCAGUGGGGAAUAUUGGAAAAUGGGCGAAAGGAUGAUCCAGCAAUGACGCGUGAGUGAUGAAGUCAUUAGGGUUGUAAAGAGCUUGUAACCGGGAUGAUAAUGACAGUACCGGGAGAAUAAGCCACGGCUAACUCCGUG